AUUGAACGCUGGCGGCAUGCCUAACACAUGCAAGUCGAACGAGUGGCGGACGGGUGAGUAAUGUCUGGGAAACUGCCUGAUGGAGGGGGAUAACUACUGGAAACGGUAGCUAAUACCGCAUACCAUCAGAUUUGCCCAGAUGGUAUUAGCUUGUGGGUGGGGUAACGGCUCACCAAGGCGACGCACCAUAGCUGGACUGAGAGGUUGACCAGCCACACUGGAACGUAGACACGGUCCAGACUCCUACGGGAGGCAGCAGUUGGGAAUAUUGCACAAUGGGCGCAAGCCUGAUGCAGCCAUGCCGCGUGUAUGAAGAAGGCCUUCGGGUUGUAAAGUACUUUCAGCGGGGAGGCGUUACCCGCAGAAGAAGCACCGGCUAACUCCGUGCCAGCCGCCGCGGUAAUAC
rnacentral:rRNA from 1 species